CACAAGCUACGCAGACUCCGUGAAGGGCCGAUUCACCAUCUCCAGGGACAACGCCAAGAACACGCUGUAUCUGCAGAUGAACAACCUGAAGACUGAGGACACGGCCACAUAUUACUGUGCAAGAGACAGGGGGUGUGCCUGGUUCAAC